CCUACGGGAGGCAGCAGUGAGGAAUAUUGGUCAAUGGACGAGAGUCUGAACCAGCCAAGUAGCGUGAAGGAUGACUGCCCUAUGGGUUGUAAACUUCUUUUAUAUGGGAAUAAAACGUUCCACGUGUGGGAUUUUGUAUGUACCAUAUGAAUAAGGAUCGGCUAACUCCGUGCCAGCAGCCGCGGUAAUACGGAGGAUCCGAGCGUGAUCCGGAUUUAUUGGGUUUAAAGGGAGCGUAGGUGGAUUGUUAAGUCAGUUGUGAAAGUUUGCGGCUCAACCGUAAAAUUGCAGUUGAAACUGGCAGUCUUGAGUACAGUAGAGGUGAGCGGAAUUCGUGGUGUAGCGGUGAAAUGCUUAGAUAUCACGAAGAACUCCGAUUGCGAAGGCAGUUCACUGGACUGCAACUGACACUGAGGCUCGAAAGUGUGGGUAUCAAACAGGAUUAGAUACCCCUGUAGUC
rnacentral:rRNA from 1 species